GACGUAGGGUGCAAGCGUUGUCCGGAAUUAUUGGGCGUAAAGAGUUCGUAGGCGGUUACCUAAGUCUAGUGUUAAAGCCCGAUGCUCAACAUCGGCAUGGCAUUGGAAACUGGGUGGCUAGAGUGUGUCAGAGGUUACGGGAAUUCCUGGUGUAGCGGUGAAAUGCGUAGAUAUCAGGAGGAACACCGGUGGCGAAAGCGCGUAACUGGGGCAUAACUGACGCUGAGGAACGAAAGCCAGGGUAUCCAAAGGG
rnacentral:rRNA from 1 species